GACGAACGCUGGCGGCGUGCUUAACACAUGCAAGUCGAACGGGAUGAUUUAGAAGCUUGCUUUUAGAGAAUCUAGUGGCAAACGGGUGAGUAACACGUAGACAACCUGCCGACAGGAUGGGGACAACAUUCCGAAAGGAAUGCUAAUACCGAAUGAAGCGGAGGAGAGGCAUCUCUCUUCCGUGAAAGAUGGCCUCUAUUUAUAAGCUAUCACCUGUCGAUGGGUCUGCGUCUGAUUAGCUAGUUGGUGAGGUAACGGCUCACCAAGGCGACGAUCAGUAGCCGGUCUGAGAGGAUGAACGGCCACAUUGGGACUGAGACACGGCCCAGACUCCUACGGGAGGCAGCAGUGGGGAAUCUUCCGCAAUGGGCGCAAGCCUGACGGAGCAACGCCGCGUGAGUGAAGAAGGUCUUCGGAUCGUAAAGCUCUGUUGACGGGGACGAACGUGCGAGAGGUGAACAAUCUCUUGUAA
rnacentral:rRNA from 1 species